rnacentral:ncRNA from 24 species
UAACCAUCCAGAGAAACGGAGGGACUGGCCCAAUGAUGUUUCAGCAACCUACUUAAAUGUGUGGUGCUAAUUCCAGAGAGAUGGAGA